GACGAACGCUGGCGGCGUGCUUAAUACAUGCAAGUCGAACGGAAAGGCCGGAGUUUUGUGUGGUGCUCGAGUGGCGAACGGGUGAGUAACACGUGAGUAACCUGCCCUGGACUGGGGGAUAACUUCUGGAAACUGUGGCUAAUACCGGAUGACAACUGCUGUUGCAUGGUGAGGGUUGGAAAGUUUCGGCGGCUGCGCUUGCACACGGGGCUGCGCAGCAUUUUGGUGGGGUAGUGGCUUAGGAUGGCUUUGACGGUCAGCCGUACUGAGAGGGUGACAGGGCACAUUGGGACUGAGAUACGGCCAGGACUGCUACGGGAGGCAGCGGUGGGGAAUAUUGCACACUGGGCGGAAGGCGGGUGCAGGAUCUCCGCGUGCGGGAUGACGGCCUUCGGGUUGGAAACAGUUUGAGCCUGUGAAGAAGAGUGAGUGACGGUAUUUGGUCAAGAAGCACCGGCUAACUACGUG
rnacentral:rRNA from 1 species